AUUGAACGCUGGCGGCAGGCUUAACACAUGCAAGUCGAGCGGGGUGAUGGUGCUUGCACUAUCACUUAGCGGCGGACGGGUGAGUAAUGCUUAGGAAUCUGCCUAUUAGUGGGGGACAACAUCUCGAAAGGGAUGCUAAUACCGCAUACGUCCUACGGGAGAAAGCAGGGGAUCACUUGUGACCUUGCGCUAAUAGAUGAGCCUAAGUCGGAUUAGCUAGUUGGUGGGGUAAAGGCCUACCAAGGCGACGAUCUGUAGCGGGUCUGAGAGGAUGAUCCGCCUACCUGGGACAGAGACACGGCCCAGACUCCUACGGGAGGCAGCAGUGGGGAAUAUUGGACAAUGGGGGGAACCCUGAUCCAGCCAUGCCGCGUGUGUGAAGAAGGCCUUAUGGUUGUAAAGCACUUUAAGCGAGGAGGAGGCUCUUUUGGUUAAUACCCAAGAUGAGUGGACGUUACUCGCAGAAUAAGCACCGGCUAACUCUGUGCCAGCAGCCGCGGUAA
rnacentral:rRNA from 1 species